rnacentral:sRNA from 1 species
UCCAGGUAUGAAUUUUAAAUCUUAUCUUUAAAACAAAAUAAAUUUUUUUAGCAUAUAUGAAAAUUAUUUAACCUACUGAAGUCUUUUUUUUUUAAAUUAGGUUUAAGAAACAUUUUGCCUAUAACUACUGCCAAAGUGCCUAUAGUAAAAUUUGAACACAGACGAAGUGGGUUAGAAGGCGAUAUCAGUUUAUAUAAUACGUUGGCUCAACAUAACACAAGAAUGCUAGCUACUUAUGCAGCUAUUGAUCCUAGAGUGCAGUAUUUGGGAUAUACUAUGAAAGUGUUUGCUAAGGUAUUUAUGAAAAAAUUAAUGAUCUGCUUUGUUCAUGAUAAUUAAAAUGAAACAUAGCUAAUGUCAGAUUUGUGAAAAAUUUUGUCUCAGUUUUGUUUAUCUGAGCUUUUAAAAAAGAAACUUUCAGUAUUAUAUAGCUUGAAUAGAUACCUAUCAGAGUAGGGUGGCUCUGUCUUU